GUAAUUGUGCAGCAAGUCUGAUGUUACAGGGAUGAGCUGAAAUGGUUUUAUUUUGGAGGAGAUUUUUUAAGGAGAGCUUUCAGACUCACAAUAAUUUUCAAAUAAAUAGAUUUAUUAUACUUUUCAACCAGUUAGAAAAAAAAUCUAAAUCAUUGGAGAGAGAAAAAAAAAUGACUCAAAAUCUAUCAUAGGGUAGAUGGCAUAUUUGCACUUCUGGGAGGUUUCUGAGUUAAGAGUGAUACAGAAAAAUUUUGCUUCUACAAGAUUUUUAGCAUCUACGUGCUUUUAACUAAGUAGAUCUCAGCUUGGAGAAGAAAGGAAGGAAAGGAAAAGAGAAGAGGUAAGUCACACAGCAAGCAGCAGCAUCGCUGUGGAGUCCAAUCAAGUUAUUUCUACUCAUUGACUUCUGCUUUUGGGAAUCAAGACUUGCUAGCUUUAAAGCCUGAGUUCAGUUGAAUGAAGAAGACUGCUUUUUAUGCUUUGUUCUGCAUUAAAGAUUUGAGCAAAAUCUUUGAUUAAACAUAAAUCUCUGGCUUCAACCAGCAACUUUUCUGUUAAGUUGCUGAGUUUAUAUUAAAAAAAAAAAAAAAAAAAAAAAAGGAAGGGAGGAAGAGACUUUCAGGGCUUUCUGUAUAUUUUGUCUGGAUUGUGGAUUCGGAAGUGGGACUUUUUGUCAAACAUCUGCUUUGAACUGAAGUGAGUGAAAGAUGGCAGAAUGCAUAACUAAAGACAAAACUACAAUGCAACAGAUUUAUUCUUAUACCACUCAAGAGGAACAACUGUGAAAAAGUUGGGGUCCUAACCUCAAGUAACAGUUCAUGUUUAAUGAAAAGAGUCUGUUCAUCUGGAAGAGAGAAAAGGAUGAAAGAAAGAAAAAUCACUGAGAAGUGACUGUCAUAUGAAACAUGCCUUACCUUACUUCCUUGUCCUGCUAUAAUCCAUAAAGAAAAGAGUAAUUUGGAUUUUAUUUAGUAAGGUAAGCGUAACACAAGGACCUGUGUGUCUGAGCAUAUUUAACUGUACAUGCAUGCUUAAAUCUAUACAAUUAAAGUUAGAUAUAUACCUUUCUGAGGAAAUAUCUGUAUAUUUUGAGUUAGGAUUCAAUGUAAUGGUAUUAAAUAGAGGCCUAAUUUUACUGUAUUUUCAAAUUCAGCAUAUCUCUUAUUUUGCAUACAUCUAUAAAUGUAUUUUAGUACCUUACUGAAUCAAAGACCACAAAGGAAUGCUUUGCUAUUUGCUUUUAAUUUUUAGCUGCUAUUAAAAAGCAUUAGCUGUGAUUUUCUAUUGUAAUUUGACUUUUAAUAUCAUAUCCCCUGACUGCUUCGGCCUCUGUAUUUAGCAGAAGCAAAUACAAGCUGAUUUCUUAUUAUCACUGACACUAAUGUGAGAAACAAUAAAAACUAGGAUGAGCUAUAUGCUGUUUAACAGGAGUAUCUUCCUGUUCAGCAUUCUGUUUUUCUUUCAGUGGAAUUGGAUGGCAAUUUCAGAUGAAUGAAUAGUCACACAAAUUCAAAAAUGCAUGUCAUUUACUCCAGGUGCAGCAAAUAUUCCUUGGGAUCUGCUAUUGUGCAAAAUGAGAUUCCUGCUGAAUACAAGUAAAGAACUACAUAUGAUGAAAAUGAUUGUGGAGAACGUUGCAUGAGCUCAGCAGGUUUGAUUUUAAUUGAAAUAGUUAAUGUUCUCUGCAAGUAAAAUAAAUAA
rnacentral:lncRNA from 7 species